CCCAAAGUGAAGUAUUUGUUCAACAAAAUGAGCAUUCCUACUGUAGCCCGUUAAAAGUACCGAGACGCCCAAAACCAAUUCAAUUCAGGCGGGAUAAUCCCAUCAUCCUCCACCGUUUUAUUCAUCAUGAGCCGCCCGCCACCGCGCAUCCUCAUCACCUUCCGAUUAACUGAAAAUCAUGGGGACACCACCAUCAAUCACCGACGUCUUCGAUCGACUUGUGUCUCACCUUCAAUUACUGAUCAGGAAACGCCAAAACGUAGAGGAAGUUCUGUCUCUAAAUUUCGAAGUUAAACCAAGCUUUAAACCUCAACGAAAACCCUAAUUCUAGGGUUAGGGUUUUGGAUACUGCUCUCUCUUGUAUUUCAAGGCACCCCAGUGAUUGCGUAUUUGGUGGGAGAGUCUUCUGUCAACUCAAUUUUUACUAUCACUCUAAUGUAUACAACGGGAGAGAUCUUCAAUGUUAUGAAAAGAAAAUUGUAA